AAUGAACGCUGGCGGCAGGCCUAACACAUGCAAGUCGAACGAGUGGCGGACGGGUGAGUAAUUUCUGGGAAACUGCCUGACAGAGGGGGAUAACUACUGGAAACGGUAGCUAAUACCGCAUACCAUCAGAUGUGCCCUGAUGGGAUUAGCUUGUUGGUGGGGUAACGGCUCACCAAGUCGACGUUCCCUAGCUGGGCUGAGCGGAUGACCAGCCAAACUGGAACCGCGCCCCGGUCCAGACUCCUACGGGAGGCAGCAGUGGGGAAUCUUGCACAAUGGGCGAAAGCCUGAUGCAGCCAUGCCGCGGGUAUGAAGACGGCCUUAGGGUUGUAAAGUACUUUCAGCAGGGAGGCGUUACCCGCAGAGGAAGCACCGGCUAACUCCGUGCCAGCAGCCGCGGUAAUAC
rnacentral:rRNA from 1 species